GUUUCUGACCAAAGUUAAAGACUACUAAGCAGGGUCAGGCCUGGAUAGUACUUGGAUUGGAGACCACCUGGGAAUACCGGUGCUGUAGGCU
rnacentral:rRNA from 1 species